AUAGGUAUACAUCAAAUUAUUCAAAACCUGAUAAAAUCCCAGAUCAAGGGGAUGCGAUGCAUGUUCUUGCUUUGUUGGACUAUCGGGUUGAACUAUAUGCAUUUGUAUGCUCUACAACUAAGAAUGACAUAAUCCAUAACAUGAACUUCCAUUAUGCUACCAAUAUUUCAUCAUCCUUUAUUGUCAUUUGAUUUUGUUGAAGCAGGUGGUUUAUUCCAUGACAGAUAUGUGUAUCAUAUUGGCAGACAAUAGUAAGGUUGUUCAUCGGCUUGGUAGCAAAUUUCCAGUUGCGGUCGAAGUUCUUCCCAUUGCUGUAACACCUGUUCUAAGGCGUCUCAUUGCUCUUGGAGGAGUUCCUGAAGCCAGAUCUGCCCUAGGAAAGGAUGGGCCAGUGAUCACUGAUCUUGGUAAUAUGAUCAUAGAUGUGAG